rnacentral:rRNA from 1 species
CAGCCGUAAACUAUGCGCGUUAGGUGUAUCGGUGACCACGAGUUACCGAGGUGCCGAAGGGAAACCGUGAAACGUGCCGCCUGGGAAGUACGGUCGCAAGGCUGAACUUAAAGGAAUUGGCGGGGGAGCACCACAACGGGUGGAGCCUGCGGUUUAAUUGGACUCAACGCCGGACAACUCACCGGGAACGACAGCAAUAUGUAGGCCAGGCUGAAGACCUUGCCUGAAUCGCUGAGAGGUGGUGCAUGGCGUAGACGUCU